ensembl:lncRNA
UGGAGUCCGUUUUUGGAUGAGUGGAGAUUUUUCCCUAUUUGCAGUGACAGGGAGCGUGGGCAGCGGGCUGGAAGCAUCCCCGAGCCGUCAGGAGGUGCAGAUCCCUGAGAUGCAGGCUGCGCUCCUUGCAGCUCGGGGAUGAGUGAGCUGGGGGCUCGUCCCAUUUGCAGGCUGAGGACAGGGACACACUGCACACAGGAGGUGCUUGGUGACUGCACCACGUGGAUUUGGCUCUGGGGAGGAACGGGGGAAAAGCAGAAAGCAUGGGUUUGCCGUUAUUGGGCACUGCAAUGACCCUAAGCCCAUAACACACCAUUCCCCCAGCUGUAGGGCUGUGUGGUUUGAUGGGAAGCGCUCUCCAUCCCCAUACCAUCAGGGUGCAAGCACCGCUGUCACAAAGGAUAUUUUCUUUGCCUUUCAGCUUUUUAAAUAAAUUUCUCAGGCAGUUUCCAGCAGUUACCUGUUUUAUUGCCAACAUCCCUGGAUAAAGUGAUGGGGAGGAAUCAGAGGAGCACAAUGUAGGCCUUUGUUUGCUAACAGAAAAAUCUCUUUUCUUUCCUUUCUGUAGGUGUCUGGUGCCUGAGGAGGGGCCGCAGUGGGGCAGGCAGCGCAGCUUAAACUCAAACCCAUCAUAGAGCGGAGCAGGGACCUCAUCCAGCAAAGAUUACGGAGGAACUGCACGGGGCGAGACAGCAGCGCUUAAUCCCCCGACUUUUUAAUUUCCAGCCGAGGAGAAUGCAGCCCUCCCCUCCGGCCGCCCUAUAAUGAGACCCAGCACAAGGGCUGCCUGCUGAGCACCACGGGACGAGCACAGCUGCCACCACGAGCAAAGGAUUCACCCCGGGGGCAUCGGGAAUGGCCUCUCCACUGCCCAGGAGCCGCCGCCGUGCAGAGCUGCACGCAGCCGGAGUGUGCGGGGAGCCCAUGUAGGACGGAGCCGUCUGCGGGUGCCAGGUGGGUGAUGGCGACACGGCCACUGCCUGUGGGCAGGAGAUGCAAAGUGGGUGGCAGAGCACAUCCCUGGGCUUGAGGAGUGCAACGUGGGGGUGAGCUGUGUGCUCCAGCUCGUGCGUGCGGCCGGUGCGGUACCGCCCGUCUGUCCGUCCAUCCCAGUCCUCCCAGAUGGAUCGUAGACCCUUAAUGCCCUAAGGUGGAAAAUAGGCCCUUAAUGCCCUUGGAAAUUUCCUCACUUUCCUCCACGCCGUCUUCCCUUCCGCAAACUUUUAAGCUUAUCCAAAAAACUGCCGUCUUCUGCUCCUAUCACAGCGCAGGGAAGCUGCAGCUUUGCCAGGAGUGCGGGAUCUCCGUUGAGCUAUAAGUGGAAGCAAAUGGUUUAAAAGGAAAUUAAGUUUACAGCUCUACUAAAAAAAAAAAAAGGCAUUUUAUUGCUUCACCUGUCAUCCCGUCGAGGCAGGAAAGGAAAGGAAUGCUUUGCAUUUAUCUCUUGUCUCGGAGAAUGGAGGCAAAGAGGAGGAAACCCACCAAUAGUGGCAAAGCGAAUGGUGCUGCUGGGAGGUGGUGAUGCUCUUCCUGGGGUUGAGGGAUCACUGAC